rnacentral:rRNA from 1 species
GACGAACGCCGGCGGCGUGCUUAACACAUGCAAGUCGAACGAUGAAGCCGGAGCUUGCUCUGGUGAAUUAGUGGCGAACGGGUGAGUAACACGUGAGUAACCUGCCCUUGACUCUGGGAUAACUGCUAGAAAUGGUAGCUAAUACCGGAUACGACCCUCGGAGGCAUCUCCAGGGGGUGGAAAGAAUUUCGGUCAGGGAUGGACUCGCGGCCUAUCAGCUAGUUGGUGAGGUAACGGCUCACCAAGGCGACGACGGGUAGCCGGCCUGAGAGGGUGACCGGCCACACUGGGACUGAGACACGGCCCAGACUCCUACGGGAGGCAGCGGUGGGGAAUAUUGCACAAUGGGCGCAAGCCUGAUGCAGCAACGCCGCGUGAGGGAUGACGGCCUUCGGGUUGUAAACCUCUUUUAGUAGGGAAGAAGCGAAAGUGACGGUACCUGCAGAAAAAGCACCGGCUAACUACGUGCCAGCCGCCGCCGUAA